GACGAACGCUGGCGGCGUGCCUAAUACAUGCAAGUCGAACGAACUCUGGUAUUGAUUGGUGCUUGCAUCAUGAUUUACAUUUGAGUGAGUGGCGAACUGGUGAGUAACACGUGGGAAACCUGCCCAGAAGCGGGGGAUAACACCUGGAAACAGAUGCUAAUACCGCAUAACAACUUGGACCGCAUGGUCCGAGCUUGAAAGAUGGCUUCGGCUAUCACUUUUGGAUGGUCCCGCGGCGUAUUAGCUAGAUGGUGGGGUAAUGGCUCACCAUGGCAAUGAUACGUAGCCGACCUGAGAGGGUAAUCGGCCACAUUGGGACUGAGACACGGCCCAAACUCCUACGGGAGGCAGCAGUAGGGAAUCUUCCACAAUGGACGAAAGUCUGAUGGAGCAACGCCGCGUGAGUGAAGAAGGGUUUCGGCUCGUAAAACUCUGUUGUUAAAGAAGAACAUAUCUGAGAGUAACUGUUCAGGUAUUGACGGUAUUUAACCAGAAAGCCACGGCUAACUACGUGCCAGCAGCCGCGGUAAUACGUAGGUGGCAAGCGUUGUCCGGAUUUAUUGGGCGUAAAGCGAGCGCAGGCGGUUUUUUAAGUCUGAUGUGAAAGCCUUCGGCUCAACCGAAGAAGUGCAUCGGAAACUGGGAAACUUGAGUGCAGAAGAGGACAGUGGAACUCCAUGUGUAGCGGUGAAAUGCGUAGAUAUAUGGAAGAACACCAGUGGCGAAGGCGGCUGUCUGGUCUGUAACUGACGCUGAGGCUCGAAAGUAUGGGUAGCAAACAGGAUUAGAUACCCUGGUAGUCCAUACCGUAAACGAUGAAUGCUAAGUGUUGGAGGGUUUCCGCCCUUCAGUGCUGCAGCUAACGCAUUAAGCAUUCCGCCUGGGGAGUACGGCCGCAAGGCUGAAACUCAAAGGAAUUGACGGGGGCCCGCACAAGCGGUGGAGCAUGUGGUUUAAUUCGAAGCUACGCGAAGAACCUUACCAGGUCUUGACAUACUAUGCAAAUCUAAGAGAUUAGACGUUCCCUUCGGGGACAUGGAUACAGGUGGUGCAUGGUUGUCGUCAGCUCGUGUCGUGAGAUGUUGGGUUAAGUCCCGCAACGAGCGCAACCCUUAUUAUCAGUUGCCAGCAUUAAGUUGGGCACUCUGGUGAGACUGCCGGUGACAAACCGGAGGAAGGUGGGGAUGACGUCAAAUCAUCAUGCCCCUUAUGACCUGGGCUACACACGUGCUACAAUGGAUGGUACAACGAGUUGCGAACUCGCGAGAGUAAGCUAAUCUCUUAAAGCCAUUCUCAGUUCGGAUUGUAGGCUGCAACUCGCCUACAUGAAGUCGGAAUCGCUAGUAAUCGCGGAUCAGCAUGCCGCGGUGAAUACGUUCCCGGGCCUUGUACACACCGCCCGUCACACCAUGAGAGUUUGUAACACCCAAAGUCGGUGGGGUAACCUUUUAGGAACCAGCCGCCUAAGGUGGGACAGAUGAUUAGGGUGAAG
rnacentral:rRNA from 1 species